rnacentral:sRNA from 1 species
AAUUUUAUAUAUAGUAACAUUAUACAUACCACAUAACAUUUUUGGUUUUAUAUAACCUUUUCUAAAUUAGGAUGAUUUGAUAUGUUUAAUAUUAAUGGUCUUAAAAAUAAUAAAUUAAAGAUUUAACCCGUAUUGAAACGGUGGAUUAAUUAUAUUUUACUUUUUUAUUAAUGUUGAAUCAAAAACCCGUCCCUCCAAAUCCGUCUUGCCAAAAAGCCAUUUAUUUUAUUGAUAUUAAUUUUAUUUAUGAUAUGACUCUGAAUUAUAAUCUAAAAAUUUUAGCUAAUAACAUAGGAGUGCACCAUAUAUAUUUAAUAGCGGAAUGUACCAUAUGACCCGAAUGCACUUUUACCUAAAUCCACCAAAAAACAAAUAUAUUAGUUAGCUUAAAUUAGUUAAAGAAUACAAAUUGAAAAGGUAUAUUACACUUUAUUCGAAUAUAGUAUCAAAACUUAUAUAACACAGAGAUUUGAUAAUUUUUUAAUUGUUGAAUACUUUUUUUCUUGUGCUAAUUUUUAUGUGAUUAAGAUUUAAUUGAUUUCGUAUAUAAAAUAUUAAAUUGUUUUACGAACUUAUUUGUUUAUAAUUUGGUAACAGAUAAAUAUUUGAAUAUUCGGUAUAUUUUGCUUCAGUUUAGGAAAUCUUUGAUGACCCGUCUUUAGAUCCAAUAAGCCCUAUAAUUAAGAAAUGAAUAUUUUCGUUAAAUGAUUUUGGUAACCUUAAUGAUG